rnacentral:rRNA from 1 species
GAUGAACGCUAGCAGAACGCUUAACACAUGCAAGUCGAACGAAUAUAUUGUCUUCGGAUAAUAUGUUAGUGGCAAACGGGCGAGUAACGCGUAUCUAACCUGCCCUUGUGUGAGGCAAAACCAUGGAGACAUGGCUAAUUCCUCAUACGCUCUAAGAAAUGAAAAUACUUAGAGGAAAGAUUUAUCGCACAAGGAGGGGGAUGCGUCCUAUCAGGUAGUUGGUGAGGUAAUAGCUCACCAAGCCUAUGACGGGUAGCCGGUCUGAGAGGAUGUCCGGCCGCAAUGGAACUGAGACACGGUCCAUACUCCUACGGGAGGCAGCAGUGGGGAAUAUUGGACAAUGGGCGCAAGCCUGAUCCAGCGAUUCUGCGUGAAGGACGAAGCCUCGUGGGGUGUAAACUUCUUUUCUGGGAGAAGACGAAUGACGGUAUCUCAGGAAUAAGAGACGGCUAACUACGUG